rnacentral:misc_RNA from 1 species
ACCUCAUUCAACUUUCUUGUCACAGUUGUUAAAAUCUUUUCCGACUCCAAAGGAAAUACAAUCGACCAUAUAUCCUUGGUUUCAAAGCAAUAUUCAUCUGAUACUUGACCAACGCAAUUACCCUUCAAUGCAUGUCCUUAAAUAAUGCCGUCAUCAGCCUCAACUGAGUACCAAUAAAUGUUAGAAAACUCCCGUUGAAAAAUACCAACAGCCUCUGGUGU